CCUACGGGAGGCAGCAGUGAGGAAUAUUGGUCAAUGGACGAGAGUCUGACCCAGCAAAGUAGCGUGAAGGAUGACUGCCCUAUGGGUUGUAAACUUCUUUUAUAUGGGAAUAAAGUGUGGGACGUGUCCUAUUUUGUAUGUACCUUAUGAAUAAGGAUCGGCUAACUGCGUGCCAGCAGCCGCGGUAAUACGGAGGAUCCGAGCGUUAUCCGGAUUUAUUGGGUUUAAAGGGUGCGUAGGCGGCCUUUUAAGUCAGUGGUGAAAGUCGGUGGCUCAACCAUAGAUUUGCCGUUGAAACUGGUGUGCUUGAGUAUUUUUGAGGCAGGCGGAAUUCGGGGUGUAGCGGUGAAAUGCUUAGAUAUCACGCAGAACCCCAAUUGCGAAGGCAGCCUGCCAAGCCAUGACUGACGCUGAUGCACGAAAGCGUGGGGAGCAAACAGGAUUAGAUACCCGGGUAGUC
rnacentral:rRNA from 1 species